rnacentral:rRNA from 1 species
GGUGAGGUAACGGCUCACCAAGACAUCGAUGUCUAGGGGUUCUGAGAGGAUUGUCCCCCACACUGGUACUGAGACACGGACCAGACUCCUACGGGAGGCAGCAGUGAGGAAUAUUGGUCAAUGGGCGAGAGCCUGAACCAGCCAUGCCGCGUGCAGGAUGAAGGUUCUAUGAAUCGUAAACUGCUUUUCUACAGGAAGAAACCUACCCUCGUGAGGGUAGUUGCCGGUACUGUAGGAAUAAGCACCGGCUAACUCCGUGCCAGCAGCCGCGGUAAUACGGAGGGUGCAAGCGUUAUCCGGAUUUAUUGGGUUUAAAGGGUGCGUAGGCGGAAUAUUAAGUCAGUGGUGAAAUCCUGCGGCUCAACCGUAGAACUGCCAUUGAUACUGAUAUUCUUGAAUGUAGUUGAGGUAGGCGGAAUGUGUAAUGUAGCGGUAAAAUGCUUAGAUAUUACACAGAACACCGAUUGCGAAGGCAGCUUACUAAACUAUGAUUGACGCUGAGGCACGAAAGCGUGGGGAGCGAACAGGAUUAGAUACCCUGGUAGUCCACGCUGUAAACGAUGAUCACUCGUUGUUUGCGAUAUAUUGUAAGCGACUGAGCGAAAGCAUUAAGUGAUCCACCUGGGGAGUACGUUCGCAAGAAUGAAACUCAAAGGAAUUGACGGGGGCCCGCACAAGCGGAGGAACAUGUGGUUUAAUUCGAUGAUACGCGAGGAACCUUACCUGGGUUUAAAUGUAGGUUGCAUGAACGGGAAACUGUUCUUUCUUUCGGGACUACCUACAAGGUGCUGCAUGGUUGUCGUCAGCUCGUGCCGUGAGGUGUCGGGUUAAGUCCCAUAACGAGCGCAACCCCUAUCGUUAGUUGCCAUCAGGUCAUGCUGGGGACUCUAACGAGACUGCCGGUGUAAACCGUGAGGAAGGUGGGGAUGACGUCAAAUCAGCACGGCCCUUAUAUCCAGGGCUACACACGUGUUACAAUGGUCGGUACAAAGGGCAGCUACCUGGUGACAGGAUGCUAAUCUCUAAAGCCGAUCACAGUUCGGAUCGAAGUCUGCAACUCGACUUCGUGAAGUUGGAUUCGCUAGUAAUCGCGCAUCAGCCACGGCGCGGUGAAUACGUUCCCGGGCCUUGUACACACCGCCCGUCAAGCCAUGGAAGCUGGGGGUGCCUGAAGUCUGUAACCGUAAGGAGCGGCCUAAGGUAAAACUGGUAACUGGGGCUAAGUCGAAACAAGGUA